UACAGGGGGGGCAAGCGUUGUUCGGAAUUACUGGGCGUAAAGGGCUCGUAGGCGGCCAACUAAGUCCGACGUGAAAUCCCAAAGCUUAACUUUGGAACUGCGUCGGAUACUGGAUGGCUUGAAUUCGGGAGAGGGAUGCAGAAUUCCAGGUGUAGCGGUGAAAUGCGUAGAUAUCAGGAGGAACACCAGUGGCGAAGGCGGUUCUCUGGGAAUGUCCUGACGCUGAGGAGCGAAAGUGUGGGGAGCGAACAGG
rnacentral:rRNA from 1 species